CACAACCGCUACAGUCCUGAGGACACACGCAGAGGCAUCAAAUUACCCUUUAGCUAUAACGUUAGCUAUGAAUUAACGUUACUUCAUUUGAAUUUUUUUUAAUGGGGAUAUCUUAGUCGUUUGAGCUGCGAGAAACAGUCUGGCUCCAGCAGGUUGGGAUGAGCACCAAGACAAACAGGGUUUGGCUAGUAUAGGCUUGCUUUGGCACGUUAGCCGCCCACGUCUCCAUGUCCCUAUGAGCAAAGUGAUGGAGACGUUCCCACAGAUCUCCACUGACUGGUCGUCAAGAACCACAAGCAGAAAGUGUAUAAGUCUUUGUUGUACAUCAAUGCGUACAAAGAGUUUGUGCGAGAGGAUCUGUAUAUGUGUUUCACAUCAUCUGUAAUGGCAGGCUUUGUUGGAGAAAUUGUUCUAUUCAUCAGAUUUACAAUUAAAAGAAUACAGGAUGUUAUAAAAUCUCUUAAACCUUUGGUAAAUUUGGUAUUAGUUUAAAAUUAUUUACACACACACCCUUUUUGCUUAUACUGUUUGCUUGUUUAUACAAUAAAAUAAGUCCUGUUUCACAUGUAAAUGGUGUGGUUUAUGUUAAAGAUGUAACGCUUCAUUUAAGUGUGACAUUAAAGGUAGGACAUGAAAUUAUUUGAUAAUAAAAACAAAGAAAGAAACAUGUAGGCAUCAGGAGUAAAUUGCUGUGAUGUGCAGAGUAAACUGUUAUUGAUUGGAUAUCAUGGUUGUGCAUGAAGGUGAUGUUAAGUGUGUUUAUGUAUAAAGUUUUGACAAGGAGAGUGUAUGACAAUGACAAUGUGAAAGCUGAGCAGUAUGACAAAGAAAGAAGAAACGAAAGUAACAGUAACAAUCAUUAUUACUAUCAUUACCGUCACCACCUUCUUACUUUCUUUAUCAACACCUUAUUAUUAUUAUAAUAAUAAUAAUAAUAAUAGGGGCUAUAUUGACAUCAGUGCUGGUUUUAACUCAUAUUCAAGGUAUUUUAAAGAGUCUAAUAGAUCUGUCUUAUUGUCAUGACUGACUCCAAGGACCAUGGCAAAUAAAGGGAGAACCAAAAAUGCACUUAAAUUUAAAUUUAUUUAUUUACAAAUACAUAAAUUGCAAAAAGAGAUGAGAUGUGGAUGCCAGUAAAGUCAGUGGUGUAAGUGAGUGGAUGUGGUAAAUAUGGUGUGCAGGUGUUGGGGAAAUGAUAGCAGAACCAAACAAGGCACAUAAAGCGUCUCUUUGAGAGCAGCUGGGGACUGGGAGCAUUGGGCCCAGGUGAGCCACAUGUAUCUAGUGCCAUCUGCUGGAGAUAUGAAUGUUUGACACAUGUUCGCAGCUCCUUGAAAAUGGCUUCAGAUCAAGACUUGAUGAUCUAAGAUAUCAGUAUUUAAAUGUAUGAAAUCAGCUCUGAGGUGAACAGACAGCAACAUCAGUUGAACAAUAUCUGGAAUAAAGGGUUAUUCUUGCAUGUGUUUAUGGUUGUGUUAGGCUAUGAUAUAAAGUAUGUCCUCCUUUUUCCCUUUCAUAAUGUUAAUGGAAUAUACUUGUAAUAUGGUGAGUAAGUUAGAACUCUUGACAAUGACAUAGCAGCCAAAUGGGGAGUACAACAAUCGCUAAUCUCUUCAAGACUGUCCUGUGAUUGCAAAGUCAUGGAUGCCUUAGUAGUUGCAUAGCAGGAGGAAACAUCUUCAAGGUUUUGUUCAGGCAUCAUCCACCUGCUCUGCCGAUGUGUCCUUGAGCAACAACACAGAACAAACAGAGCUGUCAUUGACCUUACACUGUGAACUCUCAAUAAAGCAUGACAUUAUACCUU